UUUCUUGGAUUGACGAUGAGAUGGAACUAUCACAUGAUAAGGGUGUGACGAAUCAGGAAGCGAACACGGUUGUCUGCAUCAACAUUUUAAAAAGUCUCUUUUUCCACCCGUCCAGACUAAAACACAAUCCUGGAGUUUUCAAACUAAAACAGGGUCAGCAGUGUUUUCAAAAGUCUGCGGUUUAGGUGUUCGAAAACGACAGAGUAGAGUGGACGCUAGGCAUAAGCGUAGCAAAAGUUAUGCAUUUUAAAACAAAAAUGUACUAGUGUGGAUGUAGCCAAAGACUUAAAGGACAAAGGGAGAAAAUAGAUCAUCUUGUCUUUUAUUGUGCAUACAGACUAAUGUUCAAUGUUACCAUAACAGAUGAGUGGUAUAAAUUGGAUAAUGAAGUUAGUUGAGUGCAUCACUGUCCAAAGUGUGUGUCCAUGAUAACAUAUAUUUAAAUUAUGCAUAUCGAAAUAAUUACCAAUAAAUCUAAAAAUGCAUACCAUAAUACUAAAUAAAUACAUCGACCAUCUACCCUGGAAUGUAUUCAUGAUGAACAAGUGUGCGUUAUUAAUGUGUAUCUGGCCAUGACGUUAAAUCUAGCGUUAGCUAUAUUAAGCUAAUUAAGAAUACUGCUAUAUAGCUAUGAUAUACUGUAUGUGAGGUAACGUUGGAUAAUUCAUUUUAACAGUAAAGUUAGGUAACGUUAGCUUGAGCGUUGAUUACAAUGGCUUUGUUGCCUUGCUAAUAUUAGCCAUUUAGCGUUAUUCUUGGUAACAUUACUUACAGAAGGUCUUGGUUGCAGAUGGUGACGUUAGCAUAGUCGCUUUUUAAUUGUUUUAGUGUCAGAUAUGCUGGGUCAGUAAAACAGAAUUAUGUCGUAUAACAUUUUCAGAGCUUGUUCUAUUAACUGUUAACCCAAGACAAAUGUCAACGUUAUCGACACUUGGUCUAAGGUUAACCUACUUACCGGAUGGCUUGACUGGCAAACAAAGGUACAAUAAAAUGAACUGAUUAAGCUAUAGCUGUGUCCUGAUUCAGGGGCCACAUCCUUUAAAGGCUGCAUUUGAAGACUGAAUUCAUCACAGCGGCACGAUGAAAGCUGUUUCAUUUCAAAGGCUCCUUUAAAUGCAGCUUUCUUUUCCCAAAUUUGAAGGAUCCAACAGAUGGAUCCUUCGGGACAGCCAAGUAUCCCAGAAUGCAUUUCAUACCAAGUGGCAGCACUGGUGGAGAUUUUGAGCCAGGCUAAAGCAGCUGUUGUAAUUUUCAAUCUGAGCAAAACUCAGCAAGGAGCAUGCUGCUCAGUUUAUUAAACUGAAGGGAGGAAAUUAUCACCACUUCACCGGGGCCAAAAAUUCAGCUAGCGUAGCUUGGAGUUGGACAAGGUGACUCCCCAGCAAGCAAAAGAAAGGGGGAACAGUUAAAAGAGUACAAAGAUUGCAAGUGUCCAGGGUCAGAAGGGGGCGUGAGUGGGAAACCCACUGCUGCAGCUUGGCUGUGGUUUGUCCUCAGGAUGGAUGAGGUGUUGGGACAGAGGCAUUACUCCACACCCACUGUCCUAAUUGCCUCCAUCUCUGAGGACACACCAGGGCCAAGUGCAUCAGUGGAUGACUAGGAGGAGGAGGAGGAAAGCCAGCCAGAGUCAGAUAAGAGAAAGGGAGACAAAGCGGAUGAGCUUCUUCAGCUCAUGAAGGAAGACAUGAAGUUACAGAAAGAGGAGAGGAGAGGAGAGCGGAGAGAGAAUGGACAGGCUCUAGUUGAAAAAUAAA